rnacentral:tRNA from 1 species
AAGACAUUAGUAAAAUAUAUUACAUCACCUUGUCAAGGUGAUAUUACGGGUUAAACCCCUGUAUGUCUUA